rnacentral:snRNA from 1 species
GUAUACCAUCUUAUAUUAAUAUCA